AGAGUUUGAUCCUGGCUCAGGACGAACGCUGGCGGCGUGCUUAACACAUGCAAGUCGAGCGGAAAGGCCCUUCGGGGUACUCGAGCGGCGAACGGGUGAGUAACACGUGAGUAAUCUGCCCUUAGCUCUGGGAUAGCUCCGGGAAACCGGGAUUAAUACCGGAUACGACCACCUUAGACAUCUUUUGUGGUGGAAAGAAUUUCGGCUAGGGAUGAGCUCGCGGCCUAUCAGCUUGUUGGUGGGGUAAUGGCCUACCAAGGCGACGACGGGUAGCCGGCCUGAGAGGGCGACCGGCCACACUGGGACUGAGACACGGCCCAGACUCCUACGGGAGGCAGCAGUGGGGAAUAUUGCGCAAUGGGCGAAAGCCUGACGCAGCGACGCCGCGUGGGGGAUGAGGGCCUUCGGGUUGUAAACCCCUUUCAGCAGGGACGAAGCGAAAGUGACGGUACCUGCAGAAGAAGCGCCGGCUAACUACGUGCCAGCAGCCGCGGUA
rnacentral:rRNA from 1 species